UCCUCGGUAGCUCAGCGGCAGAGCGGUCGGCUGUUAACCGAUUGGUCGUAGGUUCGAAUCCUACCCGAGGAG
rnacentral:tRNA from 1 species